UACGUAGGAGGCAAGCGUUGUCCGGAGUUACUGGGCGUGAAGCGCACGUAGGCGGUCGCAUCAGUCUGGGGUGACAGUUCCCGGCUUAACCGGAAAAGGACUCUGGAAACUGUGCGACUUGAGGGCUUCAGAGGGAUGUGGAAUUCCAGGUGGAGUGGUGAAAUGCGUAGAGAUCUGGAAGAACACCGGUGGCGAAGGCGGCUCGCUGGGCUGGUUCUAACACUCAUCCGCGAAAGCGUGGGGAGCAAACAGG
rnacentral:rRNA from 1 species